GACGAACGCUGGCGGCGUGCCUAAUACAUGCAAGUAGAACGCUGAAGGAGGAGCUUGCUUCUCUGGAUGAGUUGCGAACGGGUGAGUAACGCGUAGGUAACCUGCCUGGUAGCGGGGGAUAACUAUUGGAAACGAUAGCUAAUACCGCAUAAGAGUAGAUGUUGCAUGACAUUUGCUUAAAAGGUGCAAUUGCAUCACUACCAGAUGGACCUGCGUUGUAUUAGCUAGUUGGUGGGGUAACGGCUCACCAAGGCGACGAUACAUAGCCGACCUGAGAGGGUGAUCGGCCACACUGGGACUGAGACACGGCCCAGACUCCUACGGGAGGCAGCAGUAGGGAAUCUUCGGCAAUAGACGGAAGUCUGACCGAGCAACGCCGCGGGAGUGAAGAAGGUUUUCGGAUCGUAAAGCUCUGUUGUAAGAGAAGAACGAGUGUGAGAGUGGAAAGUUCACACUGUGACGGUAUCUUACCAGAAAGGGACGGCUAACUACGUG
rnacentral:rRNA from 1 species